rnacentral:rRNA from 1 species
AACGAACGCUGGCGGCGCGCCUAAUACAUGCAAGUCGAACGAGAAGCUGUAGCAAUACAGUUGUACAGUGGCGAACGGGUGAGGAAUACAUGGGUGACCUACCCUCGAGUGGGGAAUAACCAGCCGAAAGGUUGGCUAAUACCGCGUACGCUUCCCAGUCUACGGGUUGGGAAGGAAAGCGAUGCCGUGGGUAUCGCGCUCAAGGUUGGGCUCAUGUCCUAUCAGCUUGNGGUGGGGUAACGGCUCACCAAGGCAACGACGGGUAGCUGGUCUGAGAGGACGAUCAGCCACACUGGCACUGCGACACGGGCCAGACUCCUACGGGAGGCAGCAGUAAGGAAUAUUGCGCAAUGGGCGAAAGCCUGACGCAGCGACGCCGCGGUGGGGGAUGAAGGUCUUCGGAUUGUAAACCCCUUUCGGGAGGGAAGAUGGAACGAGCAAUCGUUCGGACGGUACCUCCAGAAGCAGCC